rnacentral:sRNA from 1 species
AUCUAGCCCUGAUAGUAGUGAAAAUCCUACUGAGCCGGGGUUCGGCGAGGUAGAUUGUAACGGAUAGCAGGAAAUAGC